UGGAGGAGAGAGGGAAGGUUAAUCAUGGUGAAAAUGAAGAAAGAUUUAUAGUUGGCCCCUUUGGGGAAAAUGACAAGAGACAGCUCUCAAGAUAUUCCUUUCUUUUUAGAGGGCUUUUAUUCAUCAAAUGCCAGGUCUUAGCAACAUAUUCAGGAGCCACAUUCUACUACUUAUAAAGAAGAGGAAGUGGCCAUCUUCAGCCAUUAGGCAGGAACAAUGCCAACAUUGAAGCCCUCAGUUGGAGGCUGCACAGUUGGAGAUCUUUGGUGCCAUUUUAGACAUCUUUGGAUUUCAUCAAUCAAACUGACUGCAAUUUUCCAUAAAACCCCCUGAAUUUGGGUCAGAAAGUGGGCAAAGCAGAUAAAGAUCAUUGGAGCUGUCUUAUGAGAUGAUAAAUAGAUAGCCUUUCAGGCCAACAAUGCGCGAAAGUGCAUUUCCCCCCCUUUUUGGUAAUUCACCCCCAAACGGAUUUGAAUGCAGCGAGUCUAAACAAUUUCUCCAUGUUUUCCCAUGGUUUAGAAGAUGUCUUCGCAGACUUGUCAAUAGUAACUUGACCCCCUUCCUCCACAGAGUUAGCAAAGGUUUUUUCCCCCCAGAAUACAGAAAAGUUCCCCACCCCCAGCCCUUCAGGAACUAAAACAAAUAGUGCAAUAUUUUUCCUUAUCCCAAGAAUAAAAAGAUUGUAGGUA